GGAGAGUUGUCCGAGUUGGCCGAAGGAGCACGCCUGGAAAGUGUGUAGGCGCCGCAAGCGUCUCGAGGGUUCGAAUCCCUCACUCUCCG
rnacentral:tRNA from 1 species